CAGCUGAAUAACUGAUAAACCCAAAGCGCUCCCUGUAUCACAGACCUCCCAGCUGAAUAACUGAUAAACCCAAAGCGCUCCCUGUAUCACAGACCUCCCAGCUGAAUAACUGAUAAACCCAAAGCGCUCCCUGUAUCACAGACCUCCCAGCUGAAUAACUGAUAAACCCAAAGCGCUCCCUGUAUCACAGACCUCCCAGCUGAAUAACUGAUAAACCCAAAGCUCUCCCUGUAUCACAGACCUCCCAGGUGAAUAACUGAUAAACCCAAAGCGCUCCCUGUAUCACAGACCUCCCAGCUGAAUAACUGAUAAACCCAAAGCGCUCCCUGUAUCACAGACCUCCCAGCUGAAUAACUGAUAAACCCAAAGCGCUCCCUGUAUCACAGACCUCCCAGCUGAAUAACUGAUAAACCCAAAGCGCUCCCUGUAUCACAGACCUCCCAGCUGAAUAACUGAUAAACCCAAAGCGCUCCCUGUAUCACAGACCUCCCAGGUGAAGUGUCUACAUUUUUCUCACAAGGCGGGCAUGCCUCUGAAUAGACUUACUGUGAUGGACUAUAAACAUCAAUCUGGUCUCACAGUUGGUCAUUAUGGUUUUUAGGAUCUGUCCUGUCAGUGGUCUACAUGUCUCCCCAUCUC